ACUUCUUUAGUAUAACUAGUACAAUUGACUUCCAAUCAAUUAGCUUCAGGUCAAUCUGAAAAGAAGUA
rnacentral:tRNA from 1 species